GUCGGUCACAUCUCCUAAAAAUAUCCCCCCUCUACUCUGUAUCACUGUCUGUGUUUCUCAGCAGACUCCUUUUACACAGAACAAGUCCUUGUCUUUAGGGAACACGGCAGUAAAGGGGUGUUACCAAAGAAUUCUAUUAGAAGCGGGUGUAACCCACAGCGAUAUGAACCGUGUUCUCAGUUCUCUCUGGUUUAAGUAGGAGGAAAAACAGUCGUCUCUGUUGCUUCAUCUUGCAGUAACCUGCUUUUUUCAGGUCAUUCGGCUCUUAGGAGGUAACUUACAAAGGGUGGACGAGAGGCUGGCACUGACAAGGACGUGCAAGGGAACAAACUGCCUGUGGGUCCCUUUUCUGUACUAAUGGCACAAAGGAUGUUGAAUGAAAGUGGGCAAGAUGGCCGAUCAGUCCUGGGAAUGUUGGAGGUGCAGGUAGAGCGGGACCCCAAGACAGGCGCCACCAUUGUUAGGUCAGUGGCUCCUGUGUCCACACCAGCUGGUGCUCCAAAGGCUACCACUGUCUUUGACGACGGCAGGAGGAGCAUCCACACUAUCAGUGGGUCAGCAGAUCAACCCUCGUCUGAAGAGCUCGGGCAUAUCUUGAGCGUCAUCGACGGGGUUGGGAUGAAAGUGCUGCUGAAUGAAGUUACAGUCACACCAACCAAGACAGAGACAGAGACAGUAGAAGCUAGCAAAGGCUCAGAGAAAAAAGGCCUGUCGCUUUACACCCAUCCCAGCACGUCAAAGGAAGACUACAGGCCGUUCGGCGGUUCUAGAAGCGAUGAUUUAGAAGUUGAGCUGAGCAGUGAGAAGUGUGUUGUAAGUGUGGGAAACACAGAUGAUAAAAACACGAUGGCAGUGAGAGACACUUUGGAAAAAGUAGAUAUCGUGGAGAAUCAGAUGUUGGAGGAAAGUCCUGUCACACUUGUGUUCUUGGGAUACGCUGAUGCUACAACUGACCAGAGUCAGAGCCAAGAGGAGCAGGAAGGCAUGAUCACUGUGGAACGAGUGAUAAUCACGGAGGAUGGAGAAGAGCAUGUCUUAGGACCUGAAAUGCCUCCUCCACUUUAUUCACCAUUAGACCAGGUAGCAGAGCAAGGCACCGGGAAAGAGUCCAAAGAUGAAGCAGUUCAGGAUAUUCCCUCGGGUGGAAACGGAGCUGGAGUCAAUGUGCAGGCAGAGGAAGGUGAUAAAGAGUCACAUAAUGCAUCUCCACCAGGCAUAACAGAGGGAAAAGGCAGUUCUAAGCACAGGAGCUGCCGGUGUUGCUCUGUCAUGUAAGAAAUGGUUGAAGAAAGACUCCCUGUAUACCAUGUAUACACUGCUUCCUUUAUAUGUUGCUUUAUAUGAGUGGGUUUAAUAGCAUACUACACCAUCACCCACCAUUCCACCUCCCCUUGAUAAUAAAAAUGGCAUUUAUAUAUUUGUGCAUCUUCUACAAAGCUCUACAAAGUGCACUAAAGUCCACUUCCACCCCCUACUGGACAGAAAUAAGAACUUCAAGCAAGCAAGCUUAUCCAACAGAAAAAAUCCACACUAAUUGUUUAGCCAUGGUUCCUGUAGAAAUGGGGGAAAAAAGUAUGCCAUCCUUUAGCAUGCACAUCCUAAUGCUUAUGGUGUCCCUCACUGUUUCUGGUAUUAAAAAUGCAACUGAGGGCUGAGAUUUUGAGUGUUUCUGAGUUUUGAUGCAUCACCUUUACACGUUGAGUUUCUUAAGACGGAUUCAGAGUCACCAUUUCUGUGUAAAAAUCCAAGCAUUAACAUUUUGAGAAAUUAUCUCACUCUUGCUCAGAGUUACAUGAGAAACAUUAAACUUUUCUAAUGUCUGUGCAGUUACUGUGAAGCUAAAACCAGCAUCUGGUUACUGCUGCGCUCGGGCUGACAUGGCAACAAGACAUUUUUAUCUCUCAGUUUCUGUACUGAUUAGGCAAACACUGAUUAGGUGUUAAUUAGAAGUUCUGGCUGGCAGAUUUUUUUUAAACCUCCUGGCAGUUGGGCUUGUUGGUUUCACGUUCAUGCCAAGUUAAUAAAAUUGGUUUGUAGAAUUUGUUUAAUAUUUUUCAGUGCCACUUAUCGUCUCAUCUAAUUCUUGGGGAAAGAAAGUAAAUAGCAUACCGCCCACCUUCUUGAACUAUGCCUUCACUAUUUUAGACCUGAUAUAUACAUUAAAAAAUACUUCUAGAAUUGUUUGAAACACUUGAAAAACCCUAUUGGCAAUACAAGAAGAACAAUAUGUUCUUCCUGUAUAUUCACUGUAGAAAAUCUGGAAAUCACUGUCUUUUUCUGACCUUUGUGUAAUUUUUUUUCUCACUGAAUUUAGAUAUAAAACUGAUUUAUGGCAGUGGAUGUUAAAUGGGAUAUGUUGUAAUAUGACAGAUUCCAGUUGGUGUAUUGAUUGAGUUUUACAAUUAGAUUUGAGAUGUACUCACAAUUUCACACUAAAGCAGCAAACAUGCAGACCUUCUGUAUUUGCUUCUGUAUCAUGCACUGAAAUACAUAAAAGAAUUGAGAUUUUCCAGCACAUUUUUUUGACUUUAAAUUCUCAAUUUAAAUUCACGUGACAUCUUUGUAUUUCUAAGAUUUCCUUUAUUUAAGGUGUUUAGGUGUGUAAAAACAGUAAUUAUACCAACAAAAAAUACUGACCACUGCUGUAGUACAAUUAACCAGCAAAUGGGUUUAUCAUAUGAAGAUAUCCUGUUAAUUUGAGAUGAUUAUGUUAUAUAAGCUGUUAAAUGUAACUUUACAUCAAAAUCUUGAAUAAACAACAGAUCUUCAAGUUUAAAGAAGGUAAACCCACAUAUUAAAUGACUGGAUUUAUCUUUAUUUAACACCAUAAAGUAUGUAAUUGUAAUAUACUGUUAAUUUAUGAUCAUAUUAAGUUUAAUAUGAUUCUUUAUAAAUAACUUAAGAUUGAAAUAUGAAAUGUUUCACAAAAGUUUAAUGUAAAAAAAAUUAAAUUCCUGGAUUUAAGUUGUAAAAAACAAUUUUAAAAUGGUUAACCUUGAAUAUAAUAUUAUUAUUAUAAUUAAAACAAGCUGCUGUCAUAUGUAAUGUGUUUUUUCCCACAUAAAAUUAAUGGAUGGACAUUUUAAAAAUAUGUUGUUAAUUAAAGAUCACAUUCUUUUUUACAAAAAAAACUUGUUAAACCUUUAUUUUAAUAUGGUUAUCAGAGUAACAUUUACAAAUGUAUAUUUGAAAUCAUUUAAAGUAUUCUUACAAUUUUAUGACGAUGCAAUGUCAUGAAGGACUUAAUGACUGCUAUAAGACUGAUUCAUCACUUCACCUGAAAUUAUCACCUGUUUAAAGUAAAUUUUUUAUAAGUAUUUUGCCUGCAGCAUUGUGGUCAAAUGACAAAUCAUGAAAUGAUUUGUCAUUUUACUUUACAAUGCCAUCAUCAAACAAUUAGAAUUAGAACAUUUAAUCAUCAUACAAGAAACAGAACACAUUUACACAAAGGUGACUCAUACCACACCGUUUUCUCCUGGUACCUCAGACACCACCAAAAAACACACACAAAAAAGAAGUAAAACUACUAAAACCUUCAAUCCAACGUAUAUAGCAGUGUAAUAUUGAAACAGAAUGAAUUAGUAGACCUCCUUGAAGACCUUGUGCUGCAGGCACAUCACAAAAACAGCAAAAAAGUCCACUCAUACACAAAUAAACGGUGUUUCAGUCCAGGUACAAUAUACAGCAGUGCCAUAUUCAAACAGAACCGGCUGAAUGCUUUAAAGGAACCUGGUGCAAAAAUCACACACGUACAAAAAAGACCUACUUGUACACUCAUAAACUGUCGUCCAGGUACAAUAUAUAGCACUGUCAUAUCCAAACAGAAUUCAAUAGCUGGCAUCCUUGAAGGACUUUGUGUUGUACAGACCUCACAAAACCUAAAACAAAAAACUGUCCCCUUCUCGACAAAUGAAUCGUAUCUCAUUCAAAUACAAACGAGGUCAGUAGGAAAUGAGGAACAGUUGAAGAACAGUAGAAAUUUGCAAAGAGUGUGCUUACGAUGAUACAAUUGCAUUUGGAGCCUGUUGCUACAUAUGCGAGUGAAUUGGAAAAAAAACACAUACAUUUGUAUGAAUCCAUAGUCAUUGGUAUGCUUAGAUGUCAAUAACCUGGUAGCCCUGUAUUUUAGUGAAUGACAGUUUGAAUGGUGAUAAAAACCCCUUUGCAAAUGUCCACAUAAUCAACCAAAGGCUGUAAGUGCAUGUGAAAGAGCGCAUAACUUUCAUGCAAAGACCCAUCCUUUCUUUAUACGACAAUUAAACACCAGCAUAAACUGCAACCUCCAAAACUGGCAGAUGUUCAGUCAGUAGUAGGAGGCAAACAUCAACACAACACCACCAGAAGACUGUGAUGUGGCCAUACCCAAUGGUCUGACCCACAGAUAAUAUGAAGUACUCUGCUGCCAAAGAAGAACUUCCUGCUGUACACAUAAAUAAGACAGGGGCUCUGUAUCAUGCAUGAUGUCAAGUUGAGGUAAAUAUAAUGAGGUGGUGAAUUUAACUAAAUAAAACCAGGUGUUCGUUAUGACUCAGUCAAAAUCAGGCUUUAAGGAUAACAUGUCUCACAGUGUGAUGAAGCAUUCAGAAGACGACACUGCUGAUAAAAGUUUCUAAUUCCUGUCCUUCAAUAUGCAGGGAAAUCAGAGGGAAAAGGCCAAUGCAGAACUUGCUGGAGAAUCAUCAGAAUUUUACAUUUUCUUUAACCUCAAGUAAUCUAGUAGAAGCUGACUGUAAAUGGAUGGUUAUCUUAAAAAAAAAAAAACCUGUAAACAGCUCAAUCAGGAAAAACUGGGACUCCAAGUCUGACAUUACAAAGAUUCAAUUUAUGAGGCCCCUUUUAAUCUGAUGCAUGUGCUUUAACUCAGAGAACCAAAACAGGCUGUGUUAGCUUAGCUUUACAGGCACUUUGUACUGCAAUGGGGGGAAAUUCCUUCAUGUAUUCAGCCAUGGAGUAACAUCUACCGGGACAGAUCUUAAAUAAUGAGGGGUCACCUUAAUGGGCUCCUGAACGAAAGAAGAAAUUUCAUUCACGUAGACACCUUUUCUGAUUUUAUAAAAGAAAUGGUUGGCAAAUGCAAGCUACGAAAAAAACAAAGAGCUGGAGAACGAAAAACAAAAACAUUGAAGCAACAGAAGGCAGAUGUGAAUGAAGUUAACGAUGCACACAUCCAAGCUGAAGUACUCAAGGAGCAGAAGGAAUUUCAGAGUAAGAAACAUCUGGAGGAGAUGACAACUGGAGCAGAAAUACAAAGAUCUGGAGGAGAAGAAUAAACUUCUGCAGAAAAAACAUCAGCUCCAGGAGAAAUUUAUGCAGCCUCAAGAGCCAGAGAACAUAAAAAGUCAGUAUGCACAGCUGGAGGAAAAAAAUAAACAGCUGGAGCUCGAACACCAAAUAAUGGAGAAAAAGAUCCAUCAGGAAGUAUCAGAACUGGAAGCAAAGUUAAAAGAUGCACACAUGAUCAUUGAAAUAGAGAAUGAUUGCAAGCAAAAACUGGAAAACUGGAGGCUAGAAAUGCUGAAAUACUCAAAGAAAAGAUGCAACUGGAAAAAGAGCACAAAGAAAUGGAGAUCAAAAAGUUUGAACUGCUUGAGGAAAAAGCCCAGUCUGCGCAAAAACAAGAAGAAUUGGUCCAGAUGUAUGAGGAACAGCUGAACAAAAACAGAGAAAUUCAAAAGGACAAAAUAGAACAGCUGCAAAAAUAUGCAGCAUUGUUGACAAAGAAUAAAGAACUGCAGACCAAACACUUGCAGAAGGAGCACAAAGAGCAAAUUCAGAAAUGUAAAAAACCUGAAGAAAAGCUACAAGCAUUGAUCGAAGAGUUCAAGGAAAUCCAUAAAGUGUAAAAAAAAAUUAAGAUAACACACGUGCAAAAAGUGGAAAACAAAAGAAUAAAGAGAAAAAACAUUUCAGACUCUUCAGGUCCAAGUCAAGCCAGGAGGAAGCUGAGAAAACAAUGAAACAACAACAAGAAAAAGAAGAAGAAAAUGGAACAGGAAAAAAAGCUGAAGAUGAGAAAAGGCACCUGGUCCUGCACACUUAAAAAUGCUGAGUUAUUUCAUAACUCAACUUCUGGGUAAAAGCCGUGGGGUCGUAAGUUGGGUUAGUUUGACCAAAUAUGGGGUUCAAAACUCGUGACUUUAUCAAGUAAAUAAAAACUGCAUAUCUGUGAACUAAUCAUAAGUUAUCUACAGUAUUUUUACAGUUUGUUGGGGGAAAAAAUGUAAGAAGCAAAAUUUUUCCGUUAAAAAAAUUGACUUUUUUGAUGUUAAUUCAUGUAUUUCAAAAUAUCGGGGAAAUUCUGUGAAAAAUACAUGAAGCAUUCUGUUAGAUUACAUACAUUUGGGGGGCGGUUUUUUCUACAGUGCAGGACCAACAACAGUAUUUACCAAAAGUCAGACUCCAUAUUUUCACCUCUUUGGGCUCACUCAGGUCAUUUGAACUGUGUACUGCUACUUAAAGAUGCGGAUUCUGUUUGUUCACAUGACAUAGAGUAGAGGAGGGCACAUGAGCUAAGAAGAUGAGCUGGAUCAUUCAUAUUUCCAUUGAGGUUAGUGCUAUCACGCACAGGGGAUGAUCACAGCACUGCAAUCAGGUGAGUCUCUUCCUUUAAAAUACCUGUGUGAUGCAAAAAUCUUUGUACUUGUUCAAUUAUCAGUCUCAAUUUCUUUCCCUGUAAAGUGACAGGUUUCAAUAGUCGAUCGAUCGAUCGAUCGAUAGAUCGAUAGAUCGAUAGAUAGAUAGAUAGAUAGAUAGAUAGAUAGGUGAAGCUGAAGUCAUAUUCAGCUUCACAGCACAAAUAUGAGUAAGAACAGCUGAUUGUGUGUGAGUGUAUCCAUACUACAGGAAUAAUGGAAUCACAAAAUUCCAUAUAAUGUUACACAGUCACUUAAGGAGAAGGAGGUAUUUUAAAGAACUACAAAAAACUACAAUAUUCAGACUACUAUAAUAUUUAAAUGAUAUCUAAAAACUCUUCACAGCAACGAUAGAAAGGAAAAUGUUCCUUUAAAGCACGGUGGAAUAAAUAGGUUAAGCUUAUUAAGGCGCAUUAAUAUGUCCUGUUGCUUGAGCUUUAUAUACAGCGUGGUGUUACUGCUGUUGAUAAUCCUUAACUGCAGUGUGGCUGGCAUUAAGCCCCUGAAUACAGGUGUAAAUAUAGACUCUUAGAUUUAAAACCUGCAGCUCAACCAGAUUAUGCCAGGACAUACAUUUUACAUAUCUAAGUAUAUCUUAGUAAAUCUACAAUAUGUGUUUAAAUAGCUGUUGAGGUUCUAUUUGCAAACAUCUCACAGUACUUGUCAGACAUUAGCUUCAUGAGUUCAGGCAGAAUGAAGAUAAAUCAGAAUUUAAGGCAGACUUGCAUUAUGAUGACAUUCCUGUUUUUCCUUUGUCAGACGAAACGUCUGUACUUGAUCUGAAUAGGAGAGAAAAGCUACCGAAACACAAAGUAAUUGAGAGAGAAAAAACAGGACAUAAAUGAAUGGAUGGACGGAUAAACGUAUUUCUAUUUUUGGUCCAUUAAGCCUACUGUUGUUGUGAUCCCGACCAGAUCUGCAGCUACACAAAUCCUAAAUUUUGAGAUUUUUGGUCGUAUAUCAAAACUAAGAAGACACAGUUUAGUGAAUUUAACCAGGAAUUUGGUAUGAACAUCCACCACCAAAGUAGUGCUUACUUGAAAAGCCCUUUAAUAGUACCCCAUGGUCCUUUCAUAUAACAUAAAAAGAGUUUCAUUUUCAGUGAAACUUUCUUACAGUUUCUAACAACAGUAAUAAUAAUAAUAACAAUUACUAGCACUGACACUUAUCAGCCUCAAUAACACUCAUGUCUCUUAUUUAAACUUAAAGGAAAUUAAAAGGCAACGCAGACAGAACACCACAAACUGCUUCAAAGACCUUUCAACAUGGAAGGAAGAGGUCCUAGACGCAGCCCUCAAAUUCUGCUCUCUGAUGAUGAUAGUGGUCUGUGGAUGAAGAUGGAUUCAAACCAUGUGAGCAACCACACAGAGAGUCCUUCAGCGACCUCUGGUGAAAGGCCACAAGACGAAAUCACAAUGACCUCUGCUGCUCCCACUGCUAUAAUGAGGUACUGCAGUGUGAUGGAUGAUGAAGGUGCAGAUGAUGUCUUCAUCCCUCAACCACCUCCUCCUCCACCUCGCACGGCUACAUCGCUGCCAGCAGAGAAAAGCACAGGUGCAACAGCAAGUAAGUCUGGUGUGACCCUUUCAGUUGACGCAACAGAGGCUGAAGCUAAUCCAAGAGGCUUAGACUUGCCUCAUAGUGAGGAGCAGUUAAUGGUAGCACGAAACGAGCUGGAUGAAGAGGUGACUGCAAGUACAGUGCCGUUGUCUAUGGCCAACAUAUCCAAUGAACAAGACUCCUCUCCACCAACUUAUCAAGAACAGCAAUCCAUGGACGUGACUGGUUGUCUGAUGGAAACUAGUUAUGAUACAGAUGGAAGACCUUACGGGAAUAACGCAACAGAGGAUGACAAACCUGAGGACAUUGUAAUUGUAAGUGAAGAACAGGGAAACUGCUGGGAAGCCAAUACAGAGGAAGACAAUUACCCAAAACAAACACAUUCUGAGAAUCAGAUCCAUUUAGACAAAGAAGGAGACAAAAUAAAACACAAGGACAUUGGUGAUUUUGAUGAAACAGACUCAAAACUAUUAAGAGAAAGUAUAGCUGUUGAGAGUGUGGAGGCAAAUUCUGAUGAUGAUUUCGAGCUCUGCAAAUGCAACCAAAACAGGACCAAUACAGCAACCAGUCAGACACAGGCUGCUGACUUCCAAGCAGAUACGGACAAAGACAAUGAAGAGCAUGAUGACCGUACAUCUUUGGACUAUAACCUCAUAAAGUAUGACUGUGUGAGGAAAGAAAGCGGCAGCACAGAAAUGCAAGUGCUAUCCAGCUCCAAAGGUUCUGAAGAAAGAGAGACAAUGGGGGAGCAAGAGGAUGGAAGUAGGAAAAUAUCUACUGAUAUCCAACAAGGUGAGCAACUGCUUCAUCGUCUGCAGCUGGUACAGCUACGACAUGAUGUGAAAAUGUCAGAGAACCCUCAUACCCAACAGCAGGCUGUCACGAUGGAUGAAAAAAAGGGCAUGUUUGGGACUGAAACAGAGAAUAUACCUGGUGAAGAAGAGAGGGAAGAAGGCAGAUUUGAAACUCUCAAGGACGUGGAAGAAAAGGUGAGCCUGAUGGAAAAGGAAAAUAAUGAGGACAAAGACAUUCAAACAAAAGCAAGGACAUCUUCAUCCACAAUUCCAGGAGAGUCAGAAGAAGACCAGAUUAUUGUCAGAAUAGAUCCGAGUGACUCUAAUGACAAUCAGAGUGAUAGCUGGGAUCCUGCAGAUUUGUCUCCCAGUAACCCUCACGAAACUUCUAAUGAAAUUCCAUUUCUGUCCACUGGACACCGAUUUUCAGCUGCUGAAACCUCCAUGGAGAGGCAGCUCCAUGAAGCAGCCCAGGGGAAGCAGAAGCUGCAGAGAGCUGGGGGUGUUUUCAAUCUUGCAGAAAAUCCAGAUGUGCUGGAGAUUCCCUUUAAGACAGAUGUCUCUCUUGAGUCACUUACUACCAAGGUAGGUACAAGCCAAUGCAACGAGUGGCAAUUCUCUGAACAGAAGAUGCUCAAAGAGAUAAGUCAGGAUAUUCAGAGAGAACUAGUGCUGGUCAAUCAAGGUAAAAUCCCAGGGGGGUACAGCAAAGGAGAGAUCCGCCAGUUAAAAGAGACAAAACUGCUGUUUGAAGCCUUCCAGCAGGACAAUCCGGAGGGUCCAACAAGACACCGUAAAUCCCCCACAACUCUGAGGAAAGGGCAGAUUUACCCUUCAGUGCUAGAGCGCACACGUAGCCUUGAGAUGUUUUCCCUCAAAACUUGUCCUGUUUCCAGAGCACAUUCCCUCAGGCUGUACCAAUCUGCAAACCUUGAGAAGGAAAAAAGUCCUGACAGCAUCAGAUCAAAGAGCCCAACUGGGGGUUCACGAGACAAAACUCGCUUAUCCCCUUACCCAAAACAAGACAAACACAUUCGCCUGUACAGAAGCAUGGACUCUAUAAGCAAUGACGUCUCUACGUUAGCUGUGGAGGGUAAAGCAAAGGCAGCAAACGCAAACAAAGAGUCUUCAAUCCUCAAGCAAAACCCAUUCUUCAAGUUGCGUCCAGCUCUGGCUCUACAACCAGAGGUAGAGAAGGACAUCCGAGAAGCCAAAGAAAGAGAAGAGGAGCUGCGCAAACAGAGACGCACACUGUAUGGAGAGAAGAGACAGAAUAGUGAAGAUGAACAAAAGUCACAAACACUCCCAGCAGACAUCAGAAAACAGUCACGGGGGAAACUGGAGCGGGUUUGGCCACCUCCUUCUAAAAAGGACCAGAUAAAACUGGAGCAGAUAGAGCAGGAGCCAAAAGUUCACCGAGCAGGAGGACAGAAAGCUUCUCUCUGGCAACGCUGGGAGUCCGGCCUGAUCAACGGGAAGCCGUCAAAAGAAAAGAAGUGAUGUUAUCUGUCCUGGUUCUUCAACACUACAAACAGAAUAUCAGCAGCGCUAGACUUAUAGUCAAAAUAACCCAAAUUGUUAUGCUAGUCCCAGCUUCAAGACUUCCUCGCUCUUUUAAUUCUGCUUUGUAUCUGUGACAAAUAUGCUUUUUUGUAUCUUUAUUAUUAUAAAAAAAUUAACAAUACCAGUCCAUAGAUUAUGUUAGGAAAAGCUCUUGGACCAGAACAGCCACUGUUCCAGCUGGUCCAGGAAAUAACUAGCUAGCAUUAGCAGCAACUUCCUGCUCUGUCAGAUUUAGAAAAGUUUACACUUUCAGUUGACAGUUUAACAAAAGAGGGGUCCAAUCUUAUGGAACAACAUGGUUUAUACUUUUUUUAAAAAUGAAUAUUGUACCAUAAACACAACUGUCAGUUAUGUAGACAACACUAUAAAACUAUUUAAGCUAGCCUACUUGUAAAAACUCACAUAAUGUUCUUUACUGAAUGUAGCAUGCCUAAAUCUUCAAGGGUUAACUUUGCAAGAACAAGCAAUAUGAAUAAGAUUAUGGGAUGUAUGGGAUAUAUUCUUGAGCACGGUCACUGUACAAUGUCUGCAGUGACUGUUUACUAAGCCACUCUUACUCUUGGAUUUACGUCUGAGGCCACACAGAGGAGAUUACACUGAUCACAGCUGCUUUGUUCUGCUUGAUGUAUUAUUUGUGGGUUUUGUUGCAUAUUUUCUAACAAACCUAAAGAUCAUCCCAAAACCAAAAAAUCCUAAAUGGAAAAUAAUGAUUAUUCAAAAUAAAUUUACACCGCUUGAUCCAUUGAACUGAAUUGUUUUGGUGCCCUCUAGAGGUUGUUUCAUCUCAGAAUUGAUUCCAAAUUCAAGCUGGUUGAAUAGAAUUAAAGAGAAUAGAAUUAAAGAAGAUAAACUUAACAAAGGCUUUAUUGAUUGGCCUGCAGUCACGUUUACAAGGGAGCACCUGGUUUCUAAUCUCUACACAGACAGAAGUACACAGCUUAGCCUGUCUAAGCACCAUCUGCCACCCCCACUGAGUCUGCCAAAAGAGGAAAGACUUUCACUCUGCCCUUCCUGGCUUGGUUAUCCCAGUGUUAAUUGGCUACCACUGUCACCAUCCUAUGAGCAGCAAGCAGUGCCAAGGCCAAGGUAUCA
ensembl:lncRNA